CGCAACCCUUGUUCUGUGUUGCCAGCAUGCCCUUCGGGGUGAUGGGGACUCACAGGAGACCGCCGGGGUCAACUCGGAGGAAAGGUGGGGACGACGUCAAGUCAUCAUGCCCCUUAUGUCUUGGGCUGCACACGUGCUACAAUGGCCGGUACAAUGAGCUGCGAUANCCGUGAGGUGGAGCGAAUCUCAAAAAGCCGGUCUCAGUUCGGAUUGGGGUCUGCAACUCGACCCCAUGAAGUCGGAGUCGCUAGUAAUCGCAGAUCAGCAUUGCUGCGGUGAAUACGUUNCCCGGGCCUUG
rnacentral:rRNA from 1 species